AGUCCCAAUGUCAUCUCUCAUUUUCUCCUCUCCGUAGAUACCACCAAACCAGAUGCAGUCACUAAAAUGGCAUCAACGCUCCACGCUCAGAAAUGGUACAAGCUAAGAGUCUGAUCACCCACCUACAGUCCCAGAUGAUGGAGAGAAAGGACUGCGGAAGGCUACGCCGACGACGGUCAAUUUGGCCACCGGAACGCCGAUCCGACCCACGAGCAUACUGGCAGUGGGCGCCACGGGCACAUUGGGCUGGCAGAUUGUCAGGAGAGCACUAGAUGAAGGCUAUGAUGUUCGCUGCCUCGUACGCCCUCGCCCUGCCCCUGCCGGUUUUCUCCGCAACUGGGGCGCAACCGUCGUCAAUGUAAUCCAAAUUAAUUUUCUGCACCUCCCUUUUAGGUUGCUCCGGAAAGAAGAUAACGUUUGGGGUAAGAAUUAGAGCUUUUUUUAGAUGACCAAAACGACGUCGUUUUGUAUUUCCAUGUCAGCUAUAAUUACACGUGUUAUAUACGCGUGGCAUCUACAAUGACACGUAAAUUUUUCGGCUGUCGAAAUUUAAUUUUAAGGAAAAAUUGACACUUGCAAAGUUUAUGAUUAAAAUUGUAAAUUUCAAAGUUCAUGUGUAGAAUAAAAAAGUGAUUAAAGUUCGUAUAUUUUAAUGUAAUUAACCCUUUUAUUUAUUUAAGUUCA